rnacentral:rRNA from 1 species
AACGUAGGAGCCUAGCGUUAUCCGAAUUUACUGGGCGUAAAGCGCCUGCAGGCGGCUUUGUAAGUUGGCUGUGAAAUCUCCCGGCUCAACUGGGAGGGGACGGUCAAGACUGCGAGGCUAGAGGUAGGUAGAGGGAGGUGGAAUUCCCGGUGUAGUGGUGAAAUGCGUAGAGAUCGGGAGGAACACCAGUGGCGAAAGCGGCCUCCUGGACCUAUCCUGACGCUGAGAGGCGAAAGCUAGGGGAGCGAACGGGAUUAGAAACCCCAGUAGUCC